rnacentral:rRNA from 1 species
GACGAACGCUGGCGGCGUGCUUAACACAUGCAAGUCGAACGAUGAAGCGGGUGCUUGCCCUCGUGGAUUAGUGGCGAACGGGCGAGUAACACGUGAGUAACCUGUCCUUUUCUUUGGGAUAACGGCUGGAAACGGCUGCUAAUACUGGAUAUUCAGGCUGCAUCGCAUGGUGUGGUUUGGAAAGGUUUUUUCUGGGAUUGGGUGGGCUCGCGGCCUAUCAGCUUGUUGGUGGGGUGAUGGCUUACCAAGGCUUUGACGGGUAGCCGGCCUGAGGGGGUGGUCGGUCGCACUGGGACUGAGAUACGGCCCAGACUCCUACGGGGGGCAGCAGUGGGGAAUAUUGCACAAUGGACGAAAGUUUGAUGCAGCGACGCCGCGUGGAGGGUGUAGGCCUUCGGGUUGUGAACUCCUUUUUCUCGCGAAAAAGGCACAGUUUUGGCUGUGUUGAUGGUAGUGGGGGAAGAAGCGCCGGCUAACUACGUG